CUUAGACAUGUCUAAAGGCCUUUACUGGCCAUACUGGGCUCGGGGGGGAGGCAGGGACAUUUACCCAGUGACACGCUGGAGCUGGCCCUUACCUACUUGCAAGAACCAACUGUGCUCAUCUCUUCCCAACUCCAUAUUCAAGAAUGUCACACUGAUAGCUCCAUGUCAGCCACAGUGGGAGUAUUUACCCCUUGGACAUCGGAAUACGCUACCAAUCAAGCCUCUUUUUUCUUCCAGAGAGCUGGUUAUUCAAUAUGUACGAGCACAUCACUAAACUCAUCCCCAGGAGUUCAACAGAAAAUUCUGGGCUUUUCGAGAACUGGGAUGACAGAGAGCUUAAAAGCACAGAUUUUGGACCAGACCCAGGUUCAAGUCUCAACUCUGCCACUUUGCAGAUAAUGUAAGAAGCCUCAGUAUGCCAACCUGCAGAGUGGGCUAAAGAUAUCACAGCCCCCAGAAGACGCAUGUAAGGAUGAAAUGAGGUGAUGCCCGCUCAGCACAUGUGAAAUCUCUUUCUCAUUCAUACCCUACAUGCUCUUAUCAGAGAGGAGGCAACUUAGACAAGUAAAGGUUCUGCAAGCACAGAUGCAGCUUCCCACCUGAAGCCACUGCCGACUUCAAGGGCCUGGCUCAGCGGCUGAGGUUCUCAGGAGGAUGUGGCCAGCACAAUGGUUCCAUUAUUGAGCGUUUGAAGCACUCUUUAUUUUUAACUACCCCUCUGGGCUUUUGCUAGGCUGUAACCCCUGCCAGGAAGGCUCAGCCCCUGUCCCUGGCUACCUCGCCUUGUUCUUCAAAGUCCAGAGUAAACGCCACCUUCUCCACAACAUGCUUCCUGACACGCCCUGAUGGAGGCACGUGCUAAGUCCGUUCUGAGUGUGUCUGUCCCCACCCUGAGGGCAGUGACCAAGGCCUGGCCCAUGCCCAGCACGGAGCAGGCACUGCCCAGUUGGCCAGGCAGCACACACUGACUUGGGACCUACAGACAAGAGUUCAAGUUCCAGCUCUUCCCUUCAGUGACUAUGUGAACCUGCCUUCUCUGGGCCUCAGUUUACUCAUCAGUAAAACGAGGGUAACAACCCUGGCAAGUUCCAGGAUUGUGCAGUUGGGAGUUGCUGGUCUGGCCUGGUAGAUAAGUGACUCUUUGUGCAAAUUAUUUUGCUUAAAACAUUCUUUGUUGGUAAAGCAGCAACUCAUUGCUUAAUUCCUGCAAAUCAUCGUUAAUGGACAGCAAGCAUUUAUUGACUACCAACUGUAUAUAUGGCCCCAGGCCAGUCUUAGAACACCAACAGGAACCACUUCCCAACCCAAAAGCACCCAGCAGAUGAUAGAUGCUAUUGACGUCAACAUUGCUGAGAUGGGAAACUUAGGACCAGAGAAUAGAAGUGACUUGCCCAAACUCAAACUGCAAGUUUAUGACAGAGCCUGGACUAAGAUCAAGCUUUCUCAAUGUCACAAGAAUUCAGUAACAGCCUACUGUAUACAAGGCACCAGCCUAGGUCCUCAUCAUGGUGAAGGCUGGUGGGGAGGUUCAAAGAUUUGUCCAUGGGUCAACACCUCCCCAAGGCCAGGUCUCCAGGGACACAGACUCUGCCCUUUGAAGGCUCCAAGCCAGAAGAGGAAACAGACCCUGAAACACUAUGAGCAGGAGGGCCAGAGAGCGACACACUUUGGUAUCCAGGAGACCCAGCCCCACUGCCUGCAACCCUGCAACCUCCCUGUGCCCCACUGAGCUGCUCAGUAAAAUGGAACUAAGGAUGGUGCCAACUGUCAGUGAUGCUGAGAGGUACAACAAGGAGGUGAAAUGUGAGACCCUGUGCAUUGUGGACACCCAAUAAACAGUGAUUCUUUUUA